ACGGGCGUAGCUCAAUGGCAGAGCAUCGGAUUCCAAAUCCGACGGUUGGGGGUUCGAGUCCCUCCGCCCGUG
rnacentral:tRNA from 1 species